UAGGGGGACGGGGUUCAGCUCCCCUCCUCGAACCCAGGGUGACUCUUAAGGUGGAGGGGAC
rnacentral:ncRNA from 1 species